rnacentral:rRNA from 1 species
GACGAACGCUGGCGGCGUGCUUAACACAUGCAAGUCGAACGGAAAGGCCCUGCUUUUGUGGGGUGCUCGAGUGGCGAACGGGUGAGUAACACGUGAGUAACCUGCCCUUGACUUUGGGAUAACUUCAGGAAACUGGGGCUAAUACCGGCUAGGAGCUCCUGCUGCAUGGUGGGGGUUGGAAAGUUUCGGCGGUUGGGGAUGGACUCGCGGCUUAUCAGCUUGUUGGUGGGGUAGUGGCUUACCAAGGCUUUGACGGGUAGCCGGCCUGAGAGGGUGACCGGCCACAUGGGGACUGAGAUACGGCCCAGACUCCUACGGGAGGCAGCAGUGGGGAAUAUUGCACAAUGGGCGGAAGCCUGAUGCAGCAACGCCGCGUGCGGGAUGACGGCCUUCGGGUUGUAAACCGCUUUCGCCUGUGACGAAGCGUGAGUGACGGUAAUGGGUAAAGAAGCACCGGCUAACUACGUG